rnacentral:tRNA from 1 species
UUAGUCAAAGCCAAAAAGAGGCAUGCCACUGUUAAUGGUUGAAAUGAAGUCUACUUCUGACUGAA